GAAAUCUUGUCAGGCACAUUAAUAUUAAAAAACCUUAAGUUUUUCCUUUCUUUCUCUCUUUUUUCUCGCUCGAUAACUAGAAGUUCACAAACGAUAUCACGCUAACACUCUAACACGAAACUAACUAAAUGGGUCCCAUCGAGUACGAUGGAUGUGAGGGGUGCUAAUACCUUCCCCUUGCAUAACCGACUCCCGAACCCGAUUUGGUUGUGACGACCAUUUCUUUUUGUUUUUCGUGGGUUUUAUCGAUAUUUCCCCUUUCCCUCUUUGGGAAUAAAUAAAGAUUGGUGGCGACUCUGUUUUGUUUAUAUUUCGAGCGUUCCUUACGCUUGGGUAUUUUU
rnacentral:lncRNA from 1 species